rnacentral:rRNA from 1 species
GCCCGCACAAGCGGUGGAGCAUGUGGUUUAAUUCGAUGCAACGCGAAGAACCUUACCUGGUCUUGACAUCCACGGAAGUUUUCAGAGAUGAGAAUGUGCCUUCGGGAACCGUGAGACAGGUGCUGCAUGGCUGUCGUCAGCUCGUGUUGUGAAAUGUUGGGUUAAGUCCCGCAACGAGCGCAACCCUUAUCCUUUGUUGCCAGCGGUCCGGCCGGGAACUCAAAGGAGACUGCCAGUGAUAAACUGGAGGAAGGUGGGGAUGACGUCAAGUCAUCAUGGCCCUUACGACCAGGGCUACACACGUGCUACAAUGGCGCAUACAAAGAGAAGCGACCUCGCGAGAGCAAGCGGACCUCAUAAAGUGCGUCGUAGUCCGGAUUGGAGUCUGCAACUCGACUCCAUGAAGUCGGAAUCGCUAGUAAUCGUGGAUCAGAAUGCCACGGUGAAUACGUUCCCGGGCCUUGUACACACCGCCCGUCACACCAUGGGAGUGGGUUGCAAAAGAAGUAGGUAGCUUAACCUUCGGGAGGGCGCUUACCACUUUGUGAUUCAUGACUGGGGUGAAGUCGUAACAAGGUAACCGUAGGGGAACCUGCGGUUGGAUCACCUCCUUACCUUAAAGAAGC